CUUGUGCUGCUUGAUGUUUCUGAAGUUGCUGUGCUGCAGUUGAGCACGCGAAACGCUCCAGGAAUAUCAGCUUCGCCUUAUUCCGCCUCACACUCUUCUAAUAAGCUCUCGAUAACAUGCAAAGAGCUGGUCGCCUGUCUGACCGUUUUUGGAGCUCUGCGGAUCUCCGCGUCCUCCUCUCGCGGCUGAAGAGCGCGUCUGGAGCUCCUGCGCCUCUCUGCGCUUUUUCGCACCAGCCACUUUGAAUCCAAUCAUGCAGGACGAGUGUCUAUUUGCUGCCGCAGAUUCUAAUUAGAGCCAAUCAUGAGAGUCCUUGAGCUCUGACAUCACGACAGAUGACACACCCCCAUCCCAUCCCAUGCGGGCGUGCGAACUCAGCCUUCAUCUCCAAAUGAAUGAUGGCACUGAUGCGCGUGGAUGAAAGGACAGACAGGAGGCGUUACUGAAGCACAUAUCCAGCAUGACAGUAGGGCACAGAGAACUGUAAAAGCAAGUCCUGAGGUAAUGCCUCAAUUGUGCCAGUUCCAAUCAGACCGACCCGCGCUGGUGAAGUAAUCCUUCAGACCACUUCCUCCAAGCUCGGCUACAUCUGAAGCUGCUCGUCAAGUUUG
rnacentral:lncRNA from 12 species